rnacentral:lncRNA from 10 species
GUCCGCGCGCGCGGGGCGGCCGCGGCGGUGAGCCUGCGCGUCAGGGCCGCCGGCCUCUCCUUGGCUGUUGGAGGUGAUAGGGGUCGAGGGGAGGGAAAAAGGGGCUGGCGUCAGCCGCCCCUGUGAGGUGGCCGUAGCGUGGACGAGUAAGAAGGGUUGAGUAAAGUGGACAAACACCUGGUUAGGAGAAGAGGGCAGGCCCGCAGCCGCCCUCCGGAGGAGGACUCGGGGCCUCGCGGGCGCCGGAGGAGGUUCCUGGGCCUCGGAGGGCCGCCCCGGCGCGCCGCCCCGGCGCGAGCGGGCGCGGGCGGGGGAGGGGAAGUGAGAGGUUGUUUAUGACCGGGGACUAAUCUCCUCCGCGAGUCCCAGCGCUCCCUCUGGGGAGUGCGGUUGAGGGGCUGUCCUCGCACGGAGCCUCGCUCGGCCUCGGGGGAGCCACGAGAGGUGGGAGUUGGACCCGCAGCGGGCCAGGAGCCCUGUCAUUGGAGGACCCGCCAAAAAGGAAGCAAACCCUCUUUUUCUUUAUCCAACCCCAAAUAGCUAGGGCCUAGGGGGAAGACUCACAUAUCGAUAAAUGGUUUGUUGCCCGUUUUAUUCUCUGGGAAAUACAACUGAUCUUACCAAAGAAAUAACCUGUCUCUUGCCGUGUUUACUUAGAGCCAUAGAAUACCUGUUUCAGAGCUGAAGGGGACCUGAGCCCAUGAUAAUCCAUUACCUCGUGAGAAAGCGGAAAAACUGACUUCAGCUUGCCCAGAUGGCGCAGAGAAUGGGUUUCCCGUAACCCCGCCUGUGUCUUUCCUUCAGCCUCGUCCCAAAUGCCGUGGGAGGGAAGGCACUCUCUGUCAAGCUGCUGUCACCUUACCUGAAGUAAGGAGUCCACGCCUGCAUGUCCGAGGAAAACAGUUUUCUCAAACACAUUAGUUGAAAAACUGAAGACGCUGCCUAAAAUACAAGCUGAGUUAGAGACAGCCCUUGUAAGACUAGAAAAAGAAAUGGAAACUAAGUAACAUGAAUUAACAUAGUCCAGGGUCACAAAGCAACAUGGAACAAGAACCUGGAUCUGAAUUCAGAGGCAGAAUGCUGGGUAAGUAUGACGAUGCUUAUUGUUGGCCCACCUGUGGGAAUUGGGGGUUAGGGACAGGUUUCCCAACCUUGUGAUGACUAUAGGAACCGGGAUUCAAGGGAGACACAGGCAUAAAGGAAGAUGUCAGGGAGACCAUCAACAAAGUAUCAUGUAAGGCAGGAAUUUGCUCACAGGAAAAUGGGAAGGAUAAAAGGGGACGUUAGUGAGAAUGUCAUUUUAAUAUUCAGUUCACUAAUCUCCAAAGACCGAUGUUCUAAAAGAAAGUGUGAAUAAAAUAGUUUAACAUCUUAUUAUGCAAUAUCUAUCACUGAUGAUAGGCACAUAAGGAGUUCUCGUUACAUCUACUUAAUUUGCCAGAUUAACUGAUGCUCCUUGUUCCUUCUUUCUUUACUUUUUCUUUUUAGAGAUAGGGU